UACGUAGGCAGCGAGCGUUGUUCGGAAUUACUGGGCGUAAAGAGUGUGUAGGCGGUGCUCCCAGUCUGUUGUGAAAUCUCCCGGCUUAACUGGGAGGGUGCAGCGGAAACUAGAGUGCUAGAGGGUGGGAGAGGUAAGCGGAAUUCCUGGUGUAGCGGUGAAAUGCGUAGAUAUCAGGAGGAACACCUGUGGUGUAGACAGCUUACUGGACCACUUCUGACGCUGAGACACGAAAGCUAGGGGAGCGAAUGGG
rnacentral:rRNA from 1 species